CCCCCAAGAGCAGGGCUGCAGGAUCCACCAGCCACUGCCAUCGAGGGAAAGGCUCCUGGCCACCUCCAUCGAGUCCGGGGGGAGCUGUGAAUCUGCCAUACUCUUCAAGACAGAUGGUGGAGCAUGUCCUCACCAUCUCUAGAUACUACUAGCACCGGCCAGCGCACUGCCUCUUACUCAGCAUUUGCAGCUUGGAACCAGCCCCCGUUUCAUACGAAUGCAAUCAGAGACUGCAUCUGGAUCUGCAAAUCAAUGACUAGAAGCCCGUGUACCCUCUCCUUAUGUUGCUCUUGAUGGAAUAAAGCAAGGGCCAGCUGUGAAUGAGAGGUUGUGCUAUUCCACUGAGAGAUACAAACAUCAUCCCAGAGCAGGAGAAUGAAAAUCAGCUCCACAAAACCCUGAACUGCUGCAGCAGCACGAGGGAAACGAGACAUCAGAUUUCCAUGCAGGAGGAAGUGCGAGGCAAGGGAAGAAAUGUGUGCAGAGAAGUAUGAGAAGGUUAGAAAGGUGAGGCUACCCACCUCAACAUCGUAGACUCAGGGCACCUUAACAGGAAAAGACAUGAUGAAAACAAGUCAGCUAUCACAAAGGCAAAGGCUAUUUCAACUGGUACGCCCUCCCCUUGACACUCAACACCGCUUGGACAUAUCAAUUGCUUCCAAGCCCUGCUUAUCCUGGAUCUGCACUGCGCACUGCUCCUGCUGAGUAGACGACCGUAAUAGCCUGGCUGCCUUUUCUGCUUUUCCAGUCAUGCACCAUUCCAGGGAGACCGGCUUGGAUUGAGAGCUCCUGAUUGGUGAUGGACCUGGCUGGUUAAGAUCCUGGCACUUCUAAGUUGAGUUAAGUAUUGUGUUGCAAGCUGAAAUGCAUAAAACAAGCUGAAGCAAAUGAAUCAUUGUGGUAAAUGAUAAGGUGAAAAAUCUGCUCAAUAAACCAACUGCCUUGGGGCUUCCUGAACAUAAAAGAGCUUGAAAUAGUGCUUUGGCAAUGGAAAAACAAUAGAGUUCCAGGAGCACUGCU